rnacentral:rRNA from 1 species
UACGUAGGGGGCGAGCGUUGUCCGGAUUUAUUGGGCGUAAAGAGCCCGCAGGCGGCUUGGCAAGUUUGAGGUGAAAUCUCCCGGCUUAACUGGGAGGGUGCGCUAUAGACUGUGGGGCUAGAGUGUGGGAGAGGAAAGUGGAAUUCCUGGUGUAGCGGUGAAAUGCGUAGAUAUCAGGAGGAACACCGGUGGUGUAAACGGCUUUCUGGACCAUAACUGACGCUGAGGCGCGAAAGCUAGGGGAGCAAACAGG